AGUGAACGCUGGCGGUAGGCCUAACACAUGCAAGUCGAACGGCAGCACAGUAAGAGCUUGCUCUUACGGGUGGCGAGUGGCGGACGGGUGAGGAAUACAUCGGAAUCUACUUUUUCGUGGGGGAUAACGUAGGGAAACUUACGCUAAUACCGCAUACGACCUACGGGUGAAAGCAGGGGAUCUUCGGACCUUGCGCGAUUGAAUGAGCCGAUGUCGGAUUAGCUAGUUGGCGGGGUAAAGGCCCACCAAGGCGACGAUCCGUAGCUGGUCUGAGAGGAUGAUCGGCCACACUGGAACUGAGACACGGUCCAGACUCCUACGGGAGGCAGCAGUGGGGAAUAUUGGACAAUGGGCGCAAGCCUGAUCCAGCCAUACUGCGUGUGUGAAGAAGGCCUUCGGGUUGUAAAGCCCUUUUGUUGGGAAAGAAAAGCAGCAGGUUAAUACCCCGCUGUUCUGACGGUACCCAAAGAAUAAGCACCGGCUAACUUCGUG
rnacentral:rRNA from 1 species